UACGGAGGGUGCGAGCGUUAAUCGGAAUUACUGGGCGUAAAGGGCCUGUAGGCGGUUGAUUAAGUUAGAUGUGAAAUCCCUGGGCUCAACCUAGGAAUGGCAUUUAAGACUGGUGAGCUAGAGUGCUGUAGAGGGGGGUAGAAUUCCAGGUGUAGCGGUGAAAUGCGUAGAGAUCUGGAGGAAUACCGGUGGCGAAGGCGGCCCCCUGGACAGAGACUGACGCUGAGGGGCGAAAGCGUGGGUAGCAAACAGG
rnacentral:rRNA from 1 species